CACUUAAUUGCCUUCUCUUUCUGCUUUGUUCUUCGUCCCAGAGGUGGUUUUUAUUUUCCUAGAUUUAAAGUGGAUUUCAUAUUUGAAUCUGAAGUGGAUUUGAAGUGGAUGUCCCAGAGUGGAUUGAGGACACGUUUUGCUGAAGAGUGUUUCGUUAUGUGGGAAUUUCAUCUGUAUGUGGAGUAGUGGCUUUGUCAGCAUAUUAUACUGAACUUAGAGCCCAUGGUCCAACACAUUGUGUUUGCUUAAACUAUUCAUAAAUAUGUGUUGUUUGGAUUAAAAACUUAAAUAUUUCAAAUUAGAAGUACGAAAAUGCCUGGGUCAGUUUGGUUUCUCAGUUUUUAAAUGUAAAACCAUGAUCACUCUGGUUAAGUAUUUUUACAACCCAAUACCAACCAACAAAUUGUUAAAUCAUUAAACUUGGUUGGUUUGGUUGUCAGAUUGAGCGGUUCAGUUGUUUUGGUAAACAGCCAUAAUGAGGCCUUAGGGCAAUUAAAUGACCAAAAAUAUAGUAAUAUUACUGUGUGUAUAUAUAUAACAUAAUCUUUAAUUGUUAUAAAUUGUUGGCAAAGUGAGUGAGGGGGUUGUAAACUUGUAGUUAUUCACAUUAGUGCAAGGAUUCUAGCAGUUGUCAUGCUAUUAGCUUUCUAUUGAUAAUUCUUCUUCUAAAUUUAUAUGCUGUUUAAUUACGUUAAAACACUUAAUUCUAUUUGCUUAAAGCAUGGCUUAGUGAUUUAUCCCUUUUGAACUUGUUUGGCAGCACAGAUAAAUAAUGAACUUUGUGAUAGAUUUUCCGUGACUCAUUAUCCCAUGCUAUUUUGGGG
rnacentral:misc_RNA from 1 species